rnacentral:lncRNA from 1 species
GAAACGACAGUCGCCACUCGACGCCCGCACCGUACGGAACGCGAGCUUCGUUGAUAUAAAUUUGAGAAGUAAAUAUUUGCGAGAGUGAAGAAGGGUGAGAGCAAAUUUGAAAAGAAGGGGUUGGAUCCAACUCACCCAACACCACCACCACCACCACCACAACUCGUGGCCGGUCCGCUGCACGCGGGAAACUGGCUGAAAGUUUGAAAGGGAAGAAGAGAGGAAACAGAGAGGACUGGAGGAAGUUGACUACUUCGAUAUCACACGCGCAGACGAACGAUAAAAACAAUACAAAAGAGUGGGACAAAAACAAAAAACUGAAUUAAGGAAUAGUAGAAUAAUAAGAAGAAAAAGUGGUAGAUUUUGGGAAAAAUCAGGUGUGGGAUCAAAUCGAAGUCGAGGGAAAACAAAGUGGCGGAAGUUUGUGAAGUAAUUGAACGUGCGGAGAGGAACGUGAGGGGAGGAGUGGAAGAAGAAGAAGAAUAUUUUCGUAAAAAGAAACAUAUCUUUCAAAGUAUCACGCGAUUCCGAAUGAUAAUUCCAAUGCGACGAGCGUCAAGAGGAAGGUGACGAGGUUGGGUCACACACGAGAGAAAGAGAUAGAAGAAACAAAAAAAAAAGAAGAAGAAAUUAAAGAAGAAAACA